UGUGACCCCUCACGUGUAACGCCGUUGCUAGCCUCUAGACUUUCGGACUGGAUCCCUGGCUUUCUGGACUCUGCUUCCCUACCUGGACAAUGCUCUUGGACACUGCUACUGCACUUCCAACAUAUGUGACUAACAGAGCAAUCCUAUGCAGAUAUGCAUGUGGAGGAAGAUGAGAUUCCCUGCUGGCGUAACCACCACAUCCAAGGCCCCACCAGGAGUAGGCAGAGCAGGCAAAUAUAUACAUGGAACCUGUUGGAAGUGAGCAGGUAUCUAUAAGCCAACACAACUGCUAAUCCAGCAUCAGAAUCCCAAAGACAGUAACUGCACCCUAAGGAUGCUUCAGCUGCAGUCAACUCCAUCUGAA